UGCAGAUAGCGCUCUUUGAUUUUUCAGAAAUAAGACAACUUUUAACUCGUUUAAAAGUUUUUAAAUUUUUUAAAGUUUAAAAGUUAACUGAAGAGCUCUUCCUUUGGUUUGGUUGUUUAAACUCUCUACCAACUGGAAUUCAGUAAACCAGAAUGAUUCAUUAACAUGAUUGCUUUUUUCCCCUGUAUUUCUCGUAUAUGAGAAAAAGAUUUUUUUAAAAAGAUAUCCAGGAUCCCUCUUUUAAAAAAUUAUUUUAAGAAACGACAAAGCUUCUCUAAAUACUGUACUUUGUAGACGCUUGAUUCAGGCCCUGCUCUUUUAAUCCAGAACUGAACAAUAAGAGUGAAUGCAGGAAGAAAGUUGACGGUGAAAGUGGAGUCCUUGGUGUUAAAGAAAAAUUGCAGGUACAGCCUGGCACACACUGGUCAGAAUAUUCCAUUGAGUGGCAAACUUUCAUCUUGGGGAAAUGAAUUUUAUUUUUAAAAGCAUUCAAAGCCACUUUCUGCAAGUUUGGGUGAUCAACCUGGAAAAUGCUAUGUUGAGCAAAAACAAGAUGUCACUAUUAAAAAAAUGAGGUUGAA